rnacentral:lncRNA from 1 species
CAGGCAGCUGAAUCCAGCCCCUUGUUACGGCGGAAAAUGCUCUCAUUGAGGCGCCCGAGCGGAGCUUCUGCCUUUUAUUGCAACCGGCGCCACCGGCUUCCAUUUAGGAAGUGACUGGGUUCCAGAGAUGUUAAGCCACCUGUCCAGGGUCACCCAGCCAGGAGAUGACUGAGAGAGGAGACCGGACUGCACAUUCCUUCCUACUACCGAGUAAGGCCUCAGAUGUCCCAUAAAUCCACGCUUCAUUAGAAUAGGGUCUAUUUAAGAUGAUCGCAAGUUAAGUCUGUGG